GGUGAACGCUGGCGGCAUGCUUUACACAUGCAAGUCGAACGGUAACAGGGUGCUUGCACCGCUGACGAGUGGCGAACGGGUGAGUAAUGCGUCGGAACGUGCCGAGUAGUGGGGGAUAACGCAGCGAAAGUUGUGCUAAUACCGCAUACGUACUGAGGUAGAAAGUGGGGGACCUUCGGGCCUCACGCUAUUCGAGCGGCCGACGUCUGAUUAGCUAGUAGGUGGGGUAAAGGCUCACCUAGGCGACGAUCAGUAGCGGGUCUGAGAGGAUGGUCCGCCAAACUGGGACUGAGACACGGCCCAGACUCCUACGGGAGGCAGCAGUGGGGAAUUUUGGACAAUGGGCGAAAGCCUGAUCCAGCCAUGCCGCGUGUCUGAAGAAGGCCUUCGGGUUGUAAAGGACUUUUGUCAGGGAGGAAAUCCCUAGUGCUAAUAACACUGGGGGAUGACAGUACCUGAAGAAUAAGCACCGGCUAACUACGUGCCAGCCGCCGCCGUAA
rnacentral:rRNA from 1 species